rnacentral:rRNA from 1 species
GAUAAUAUAAAUUAAAAUAAUUUUUAAUUAAAUUAAAAUUUCACCUAUUAAUUUAAUAUUUAAAUUCAAUAUUUUAUUUAUAUUAAUUAUUACUAAUAAAAUUCAAUUUAACUUUUGUAUAACCGCAACUGCUGGCACAAAAUUUGUUAUUAAUUUUAAUAUUACUAAAUAUUAAUUUCUUAAAUUUUUAAUGUUAAUUACAAAUUUAAUAAAAUUAAAUAUUAUUAAAAUAAUUAAAAAUA